UUGAGUGUUUGGGCAGAGCAUCAUGGACCCUUCCAUGGGGUCUACUGCCUGUAGCUGGCCCUUGCCUCAGCUUCAGGAUUCAGAGCUGUGCUGGAGAUGGCCUCACAGCAGGGCAGGCUUGGUGUUGAGGUGGGGUCCCAGCUGAGGCGGGAGGCACACGUAGUCCACCCUGGCCUGGUCAGUGGUGGGGCAGAGGCUGAGGCUUCCAGUCCCUUCCCAUUAGCAGGACUGUAUCCUCAGGCUGGGCCCUCACAGCCCGGGCUGGCGCUGCUGACACCCAGGUCCCUGGUCGCCCACAGUUUGAGCUGGACAUCGAGCCCAAGGUGUUCAAGCCGCCGAGUAGCACAGAGGCCCUGAAUGACAGCCAGGAGUUCCCCUUCCCCGAGACGCCCACCAAAGUGUGGCCGCAGGACGAGUACAUCGUGGAGUACU
rnacentral:lncRNA from 1 species